AUUGAACGCUGGCGGCAGGCCUAACACAUGCAAGUCGAGCGAGUGGCGGACGGGUGAGUAAUGUCUGGGAAACUGCUCGAUGGAGGGGGAUAAAUAAGGGAAACGGUAGCUAACACCGCAUACCAUCAGAUGUGCCCAGAUGGGUUUAGCUUGAAGGUGGGGUAACGGCGCACCUAGGACACGCUCCAUAGCUGGUAUGAGAGGAUGAUCAGCCACACUGGAACUGAGACACGGUCCAGACUCCUACGUGAGGCAGCAGUGGGGAAUAUUGCACAAUGGGCGCAAGCCUGAUGCAGCCAUGCCGCGUGUAUGAAGAAGGCCUUCGGGUUGUAAAGUACUUUCAGCCCGUAGGCGUUACUCACAGAAGAAGCACCGGCUAACUCCGUGCCAGCAGCCGCGGUAAUAC
rnacentral:rRNA from 1 species